GACGAACGCUGGCGGCGUGCCUAAUACAUGCAAGUAGAACGCUGAAGAGAGGAGCUUACUCUUCUUGGAUGAGUUGCGAACGGGUGAGUAACGCGUAGGUAACCUGCCUUGUAGCGGGGGAUAACUAUUGGAAACGAUAGCUAAUACCGCAUAACAAUGGAUGACACAUGUCAUUUAUUUGAAAGGGGCAAUUGCUCCACUACAAGAUGGACCUGCGUUGUAUUAGCUAGUAGGUGAGGUAAUGGCUCACCUAGGCGACGAUACAUAGCCGACCUGAGAGGGUGAUCGGCCACACUGGGACUGAGACACGGCCCAGACUCCUACGGGAGGCAGCAGUAGGGAAUCUUCGGCAAGGGGGGCAACCCUGACCGAGCAACGCCGCGUGAGGGAAGAAGGGUUUCGGAUCGUAAAGCUCUGUUGUAAGUCAAGAACGGGUGUGAGAGUGGAAAGUUCACACUGUGACGGUAGCUUACCAGAAAGGGACGGCUAACUACGUG
rnacentral:rRNA from 1 species